AUGUAUGUGCGGAACUUUGCUCGACGCCUUCACAAAUGCAAGACCCCCGCCCUUCUUUCCAAGCUGGACAUAAGAAAAGCCUUCGACUUUGUCAGAUGGGAAUUCAUCCUCCACCUCUUGCAACUAAAGGGCUUCCCUUGCAAAUUCCGUGAUUGGAUUGCCGCUCUACUUUGCACCUCUUCCUCACGUUUCCUGCUCAAUGGUCUGCCCGGACCUCCCAUCAAACAUGGUCGCGGUUUUUGGCAAGGGGACUCGAUCUCGCCAUUGCUAUUCGUCCUCGCAAUUGAUCCUCUUCACCAAAUACUUGACUUGGCAACGAGGAAGGGCCUCCUUCAUAAGAUUCGGGGACGAGGUGCUAUGAUGAGAACCUCCUUAUACGCGGAUGACGCGGCCAUUUUUAUGGCCCCUAUCAAGAGUGACAUCGACAACCUCUCCACCAUUUUGAAGGGCUUCGGUGAUGUCACGGGUCUAUGCACCAACUUUCACAAAAGCUCGGUUGUGCCCAUCCGGUGCUCCAACGUUGACUUGGAUCAUGUCCUCAGUGGCGUACCGGUGUCCAGAGCCACCUUCCUGAUGAAAUACCUGGGACUCCCACUCUCGGUCUGGCAGCUCAAGUUUGUAGAUUUCCAAUACCUUGAGGACAAGGCGGCCGACAAACUUGUCACCUAG
rnacentral:rRNA from 1 species